CUCCUACGGGUGGCAGCAGUGGGGAAUUUUGGACAAUGGGCGCAAGCCUGAUCCAGCCAUGCCGCGUGCGGGAAGAAGGCCUUCGGGUUGUAAACCGCUUUUGGCAGGAACGAAACGGCGCGAGCCAAUACCUCGCGUUAAUGACGGUACCUGCAGAAUAAGCACCGGCUAACUACGUGCCAGCAGCCGCGGUAAUACGUAGGGUGCAAGCGUUAAUCGGAAUUACUGGGCGUAAAGCGUACGCAGGCGGCUUUGCAAGACAGGUGUGAAAUCCCCGGGCCUAACCUGGGAACUGCAUUUGUGACUGCAUGGCUAGAGUCUGUCAGAGGGGGGUGGAAUUCCACGUGUAGCAGUGAAAUGCGUAGAGAUGUGGAAGAACACCGAUGGCGAAGGCAGCCCCCUGGGAUAAGACUGACGCUCAUGUACGAAAGCGUGGGGAGCAAACAGGAUUAGAUACCCUGGUAGUCCACGCCCUAAACGAUGUCUACUAGUUGUCGGAGGGUAACUCCUUCGGUAACGCAGCUAACGCGUGAAGUAGACC
rnacentral:rRNA from 1 species